rnacentral:lncRNA from 13 species
AGUAUCGUGCAAGGUGCUGCGCGAUGUUUAUUAUAAAGCCGAUUGUCGUCGUGCUCACCAUUGUACCGGCAAUCUGUUGUUAGCUCACGAGUAUCGUGAGAAUCCGUUCGACCGAAAUUCAUCGCGAGAGCGACGGCGUCAGUUAACCGUCGGCAGUCGGUCAAUCGCAUUUUUCGAUUCACAGCUAUUUGUUUUCGGUCUCAAUUCAUACGUAUAUCAGAGUACGUGAGAACGCGGAGAUAAUCGCCUAAAGUCGCGCGUGUGAUAUGCGUUAGCAACGGAUGCGGCCAACUAGCCCAACGGAACAACGAUUAUGUAUCGCGUGAAGGUGUUUGCGCGUCUCCAUCGUUCGAGAGUCGUUCGUUGGCAAACGUCAUGCCGUCGGGUACCGAGUGACGCGAAUCGUAGCUCGCUUGCCGUUUCGGGUUGUUGAGGCAUAAUAAAUUGCGCAUCACGCACAUCGAAAGUGUCGUGCAAGUGCAAGGUGCCAUGUGAUCUUCAUAUCAGAUAGUUAGGUUAUCACCGUACUCCCAAGUGCACCGGGCGGGCGCUUGUUAUGUAGAUUGCGAAUUUCGUGAGACACCGUUCGACCGAAGCUCGUCACGCUAGCGACGGCGUCAGUGAUCCAUCGCCCAUCGGUCGAUCGCAUAUUUCAAUCCGUGGAUGUUUGUUUUCGGUCGCAAUUCGUAUGUUUAGCAGCGCAUGUGAUGAACGCGGACAUAAUAAUCGUCCGGAGACGCGUGUGUUGUGUGUAGCAACAGCCGCGACCAACCGAAAGGUUAUGUUGCACCGCGCGACGCGGCGUGAAAGUGAUCGCGCGAUUUUCUGGUGCUCGAAAUUCGUCAUCUACCAUGUUAACUUCCCCGACAGCGGCGUAGGUAAUGGGUCGAUGCGGAUAACGCUUUCGUCGUUUCGCGUUAACUUCCCGUCGCAAUGUAAAGAACUGCGCAACGUGCACGGGAAUGCCGUCCAGGAUGCCGCGCGAUCGUCGUGCACCGUCAAUAAGAGUGUCGUCGAGGUGAUUAUUGCUAAAAUUAAAUAGUAGUGUUUUCGUGAGUGCCAUAAAGAAACAUCAAACAGGAACAAGGGAGGAGGAGGACCUGGGAGGCAUCAGGCAACGGCGGAGCAACCACGAGGUCGACGUGGAAAACUCCGCUGUUGCGCAUCGCGUGUCGAUAAAAGCAGAUAAUCUUAUCCUGUUGCUGCAACAAGAUUCCUGUUUCUGCAGCCGUUGUAUUGUCUACGCAGGGUGUACUCUCGAAAGGUAAUGCACCAAAUUGGCAAUAUUUAAGAAGCUUCAGUCGUCAUCGCUGUUAAUUGUUCCAUGAGAUCUAAUACAUUGUGAGAGAACCUUGAAAUAACAACCAGUAGGUGACCGUGACGGUUGCGAAGCCACAAAAAUGUUUUAUUUACACGUGACUGACAAACAUGUCGAGUUAAAUAUCUGGUAGUUAUACGAGAUUAAAUAAGAAAGGAAAUGAAAGAAAA